ensembl:scaRNA
UGGAAGUGAUGAAACAGAGAUAAUUGGGGGUGUGUGUGGAUGGAGUGUGUGUGAGAAAGGGAAUUAUCCCAGAGUCAGGCUGGGGGUGGGGAUUGAGUGUGGAUGUGAGGAAAGGGCUCUCAUGGGGGCACUGAUGGCAGUGCUGAGGCCGGAGUGCAUCUGAGGCGUGUUGGGCACCUCGGGGGCCCCUCUGCAACACUGCCAGUGAUUAAAGCCCCAAGCAAGCCCACCAGGAGAGCCCAGGCAGCCCAAAUCUCUACCAGGGUCAGCAGUGAUCCUGUGAUCUGAUCUCG